UCUUACGGGGCGCAGCAGUGAGGAAUAUUGGUCAAUGGUCGGGAGACUGAACCAGCCAAGCCGCGUGAGGGAUGAAGGUACAGAGUAUCGUAAACCUCUUUUGCCGGGGAGCAAGGGCGGGGACGUGUCCCGGCCCGGAGAGUACCCGGAGAAAAAGCAUCGGCUAACUCCGUGCCAGCAGCCGCGGUAAUACGGAGGAUGCGAGCGUUAUCCGGAUUUAUUGGGUUUAAAGGGUGCGUAGGCGGGCUUUUAAGUCAGCGGUAAAAAUUCGGGGCUCAACCCCGUCCGGCCGUUGAAACUGGGGG
rnacentral:rRNA from 1 species